UACGAAGGGGGCUAGCGUUACUCGGAAUUACUGGGCGUAAAGGGCGCGUAGGCGGCGUUUCAAGUUGGACGUGAAAUUCCUGGGCUCAACCUGGGGACUGCGUUCAAGACUGUGAUGCUAGAGGAUGGAAGAGGGUCGUGGAAUUCCCAGUGUAGAGGUGAAAUUCGUAGAUAUUGGGAAGAACACCGGUGGCGAAGGCGGCGACCUGGUCCAUUACUGACGCUGAGGCGCGACAGCGUGGGGAGCAAACAGG
rnacentral:rRNA from 1 species